rnacentral:rRNA from 1 species
AUUGAACGCUGGCGGCAGGCCUAACACAUGCAAGUCGAACGAGUGGCGGACGGGUGAGUAAUGUCUGGGAAACUGCCCGAUGGAGGGGGAUAACUACUGGAAACGGUAGCUAAUACCGCAUACUAUCGAAGGUGCCCAUAUGGGAUUAGCUAGUAGGUGGGGUAACGGCUCACCUAGGCGACGAGCCCUAGCUGGUCUGAGAGGAUGACCAGCCACACUGGAACUGAGACACGGCCCAGACUCCUACGGGAGGCAGCAGUGGGGAAUAUUGGACAAUGGGCGAAAGCCUGAUGCAGCCAUGCCGCGUGUAUGAAGAAGGCCUUCGGGUUGUAAAGUACUUUCGGCGGGGAGGCGUUACCCGCAGAAGAAGCACCGGCUAACUCCGUGCCAGCAGCCGCGGUAAUAC